rnacentral:sRNA from 1 species
GAUGUUUGGAGGGUGUAAAUAGGACUCGGUGGACAGUACUGGAGGCUGAGCUUGGCUUGCUUACGGAGCCAGCUGUGCACCGCUUGUGGGUCUCUCAUCUUCGCUAAUCUUCACUUCCCUGAAAGAGGCACAGCUGAGAACUUCUCUUGACCUUCCUCCUGGUCCCUUUGCUGAUUCAACUCAAGGCUGAGGCCUGGCUGUCUCUGCCAGGUAGUGCUACCACUGCCAUGAAGUGUUUUCGAAUGGAUUGAGCUGCCGCUGCUGACCUGUGAACUGAACUGCCGAUUUCCAGACAACACAGACCGGAGUUGCUCCAAAGAACCUUUCUAAACAGUGGCUGCCCCCAUGAGGGCGAAGGCAGAAGAUGUGUGCAGAAAAGCUGAUGGGAGAGGCGGUGCCAUUGACUGAUCAAGAAAGAGGAGGUUUCUUGGGCCGUGGAAGCCUGGAGUUCUGUUUAAGACCCAUCAGGAUGUAUGACCCAGGGAUUCCUGGGGAAAUGAAAAGCCACCACGGAGAACAGCCAAAGGAUGUAAACAGACAACUGCGUAGGAGCACAGCGGUUUCUCUGAAGUGGACAUCAAUUUCACAACAUCCCGCAAUUGUCUAAGCAGAACUGUGGCGCUCUCUUGCA